CUGCUUCACGGCGACUCACAAGCCACAGUGGAUGCAGCUGCGUAUUAGAGGCGCAUUCUGCAGGAGAUUUAGGAUCACAAUAUUUCUCAGAGGAGACGAUGGCCUUGACUGAACCGAGCAGCUGACUGUUCCGGUCUCAGAACAACAAAAAGCUCCAUCGACGACCAAAACAAGCGGUUCCCAACAGCCAGUUAGUUGGAAAUAUUUCCACAUGUGCAGAAACACCGGGUCCAGAAGGGAGGAAACUGGACCCGACUUGCCUUAGUCACUCAGAGUAGUUUGUAGUUUAAUCAGCUGAGUCACAUUAGCUCGAUUGAUUCCAGCUGGCAGGACAAACUGAGGUUCUGAAACGGGCCUGUACUGAGUCACACCGUCAAACCUACUCUAAUAUUUACAUUGUUUGAGUUUCACUCAUAUCUGAUUAAGUCCUGGAGAAAAAUGACAAAGAAACGGGAACAUGUUGCCAUGUCAACGCUUCCUGUUUCAGACCCGGAAAACGGCUGGAACCAGCAACUCAAACUACCGCACAGGCAGGGAGGUCAGGGGAUGAGGGGAGCUGACUGGCUGAGCCGACUGGGACCACUGAGAGACCUGCAGCAGGUGGGAGGACUCAGGACUGGUUGCCAUGGAGUUCCUGGACGAGUUCUGGGCCUGAGGAAACGACCCGUUUUACCAACAGUGCAACAACAAACAUGAACAGUCUCCAUCAACAACACAGGCGGCCCCAUUUCUGUGUGAUAGAAAAGUAAAAAGCCCGUUUGAACUUGACAUUUUUCUUUAAAAUGAUCCCCAUACACGA